GCCUAGAUAGCUCAGCUGGUUAGAGCAUGGUGCUGAUAACAACAACGUUGCUGGUUUGAUCCCCAUUCGAUCCCUGGGACA